rnacentral:tRNA from 1 species
AAGAUUUUAAUAAAUAAAUGUUUUGAAAGCAUUUUUAAAGAUCUUUAAGUCUUU